rnacentral:pre_miRNA from 1 species
AAAGUACUCCCUCCGUCCCAAAAUUCUUGUCUUAGAUUUGUCUAGAUAUGGAUGUAUCAAGUCACGUUUUAGUAUUAGAUACAUCCGUAUCUAGACAAAUCUAAGGCAAGAAUUUUGGGACAGAGGGAGUAGUUG